rnacentral:rRNA from 1 species
GACGAACGCUGGCGGCGUGCUUAACACAUGCAAGUCGAACGGAAAGGCCCUGCUUUUGUGGGGUGCUCGAGUGGCGAACGGGUGAGUAACACGUGAGUAACCUGCCCUUGACUUUGGGAUAACUUCAGGAAACUGGGGCUAAUACCGUAUAGGAGCUCCUGCUGCAUGGUGGGGGUUGGAAAGUUUCGGCGGGUGGGGAUGGACGCGCGGCUUAUCAGCUUGUUGGUGGGGUAGUGGCUUACCAAGGCUUUGACGGGUCGCCGGCCUGAGAGGGUGACCGGCCACAUUGGGACUGAGAUACGGCCCAGAGUCGUACGGGAGGCAGCAGUGGGGAAUAUUGCCCAGUGGGAGGAAGCCUGAUGCAGAAACGCCGCGUGCGGGAUGACGGUUUUCGGGUUGUAAACCGCUUUCGCCUGUGACGAAGCGUGAGUGACGGUAAUGGGUAAAGAAGCACCGGCUAACUACGUG